UGGGGAAUAUUGCACAAUGGGGGAAACCCUGAUGCAGCGACGCCGCGUGAGCGAAGAAGGUUUUCGAAUCGUAAAGCUCUGUCCUAUGGGAAGAUAAUGACGGUACCAUAGGAGGAAGCCCCGGCUAACUACGUGCCAGCAGCCGCGGUAAUACGUAGGGGGCAAGCGUUGUCCGGAAUCACUGGGCGUAAAGGGUUCGCAGGCGGAAAUGCAAGUCAGUUGUGAAAGGCAGAGGCUCAACCUCUGUAAGCAAUUGAAACUGUAUUUCUUGAGAUGUGGAGAGGCAAGUGGAAGUCCGAGUGUAGCGGUGAAAUGCGUAGAUAUUAGGAAGAAUACCGGUGGCGAAGGCGACUUGCUGGACACAAACUGACGCUGAGGAACGAAAGCGUGGGUAGCAAACAGG
rnacentral:rRNA from 1 species